rnacentral:rRNA from 1 species
AUUGCCCUAGUAACGGCGAGUGAAGCGGCAAUAGCUCAAAUUUGAAAUCUGGCCCUUGUAGGGCCCGAGUUGUAAUUUGCAGAGGGCGCUUUGGCGUUGGUAGCGGCCUAAGUUCCUUGGAACAGGACGUCGCAGAGGGUGAGAAUCCCGUACGUGGCCGCCUACCUCCGCCGUGUAAAGCCCCUUCGACGAGUCGAGUUGUUUGGGAAUGCAGCUCUAAAUGGGAGGUAAAUUUCUUCUAAAGCUAAAUACCGGCCAGAGACCGAUAGCGCACAAGUAGAGUGAUCGAAAGAUGAAAAGCACUUUGGAAAGAGAGUCAAAUAGCACGUGAAAUUGUUGAAAGGGAAGCGCUUGCAGUCAGACUUGCCCGCAGUUGCUCACCCCGGCUCUUGCCUGGGGCACUCUUCUGCGGGCAGGCCAGCAUCAGUUUGGGCGACCGGAUAAAGGCCUCUGUCAUGUAUCUUCCUUCGGGAUGACCUUAUAGGGGAGGUGUAAUGCGGCCAGCCCGGACUGAGGUCCGCGCUUUUGCUAGGAUGCUGGCGUAAUGGCUGUAAGCGGCCCGUCUUGAAACACGGACCAAGGAGUCUAACAUCUAUGCGAGUGUUUGGGUGUCAAGCCCGGGCGCGCAAUGAAAGUGAACGGAGGUGGGAACCCUCGGGUGCACCAUCGACCGAUCCUGAUGUCUUCGGAUGGAUUUGAGUAAGAGCAUAGCUGUUGGGACCCGAAAGAUGGUGAACUAUGCUUGAAUAGGGUGAAGCCAGAGGAAACUCUGGUGGAGGCUCGCAGCGGUUCUGACGUGCAAAUCGAUCGUCAAAUUUGGGCAUA